GUGAAGUGAAGGGAGGAGAAAAGAAGAAGGAUAUAAUGAAACUCACAGCAGAGAGGAGAGGAGGUUGUAGGGCAAUAUGACGAGGGAACCCUCUCAUGUAAAAGAUGUGAGAGGAGAGGAGAGGAGGCAGGAGGGCAAAAUGAACAGUCCACCCUCUCAUGUGAAGGUCAAGAGAACCCUGAACGGCCACUUCAUCAACUACAAGUGAACCAUCUUUCUAGAAAGAUUUUUGGUGUGAUCAAACAGUGCGAAAAAAAAAAAGUGUUUCACAUUCAAAGGGAAAAAAAGAAGAAGCGUCUCAGUUUGAUCUCUUUGAUUUAUGUUUGCGCACAAAUGUGCACAUCUAUAGAAUUAUGACCCAGUUUUGUUCACAUGUAUAGGCCUUGUUUUAAAGAUUUAUUAUUUAGUUUAUAUUAUGCUCACAUGCUUCACAUUCCUAAUAAAGUUGUAUUUAAUGAAACUGCCACAACCAGACACAAAUAUUUCAGCCUAGGAAGACUGGAUGGGCUAAUGGGAACUGGAGGCAAGAGUACAUACAAGAUAAUUUUUUUUCCAGAUGUGACCAGACUAAGUAUGGUUAAAGUAGACCUUGAUAAAAGAUUAACCAUUAAAGUCAAU